rnacentral:rRNA from 1 species
UACGAAGGGGGGCUAGCGUUGCUCGGAAUCACUGGGCGUAAAGCGCACGUAGGCGGAUUGCUAAGUCAGGGGUGAAAUCCUGGAGCUCAACUCCAGAACUGCCUUUGAUACUGGCGACCUUGAGUCCGGGAGAGGUGAGUGGGAACUGCGAGUGUAGAGGUGAAAUUCGUAGAUAUUCGCAAGAACACCAGUGGCGAAGGCGGCUCACUGGCCCGGUACUGACGCUGAGGUGCGAAAGCGUGGGGAGCAAACAGGG